UACGGAGGGUGCGAGCGUUGUCCGGAAUCACUGGGCGUAAAGGGCGCGUAGGCGGGAUGGCAAGUCAGUCGUGAAAUCUCUCGGCUCAACCGAGAAACGUCGGCUGAUACUGCCGUUCUUGAGGGAUGCAGAGGAGACUGGAAUUCCCGGUGUAGCGGUGAAAUGUGUAGAGAUCGGGAGGAACACCGGUGGCGAAGGCGGGUCUCUGGGCAUUUCCUGACGCUGAGGCGCGAAAGCGUGGGGAGCAAACGGG
rnacentral:rRNA from 1 species